rnacentral:rRNA from 1 species
GGCUCAGAACGAACGCUGGCGGCGUGGCUUAACACAUGCAAGUCGAACGCGAAAGGGACUUCGGUCCUGAGUAAAGUGGCGCACGGGUGAGUAACGCGUAGAUAACCUGUCUUCAUGUCUGGAAUAAUACGCCGAAAGGGGUACUAAUACCGGAUAUUCUUGCUUUUCAUAAGUUAUGCAAGCAAAGGUGGCCUCUGCAUAUGCUACUGCAUGAAGAGGGGUCUGCGUACCAUUAGCUAGUAGGUGGGGUAAUGGCCUACCUAGGCGACGAUGGUUAGCGGGUCUGAGAGGAUGAUCCGCCACACUGGCACUGGAACACGGGCCAGACUCCUACGGGAGGCAGCAGUGAGGAAUAUUGCGCAAUGGGGGAAACCCUGACGCAGCGACGCCGCGUGAGUGAGGAAGGCCUUCGGGUCGUAAAGCUCUGUCAAGAGGAAAGAAGUGUACAAUGGCUAAUACCUGUUGUAUUUGACGGUACCUCUAAAGGAAGCACCGGCUAACUCCGUGCCAGCCGCCGC